AUACGGAGGGUGCGAGCGUUAAUCGGAAUUACUGGGCGUAAAGCGCACGUAGGCGGACUGAUCAGUUGGGGGUGAAAUCCCAGGGCUCAACCCUGGAACUGCCUCCAAUACUGUCAGUCUAGAGAUCGGAAGAGGUGAGUGGAAUUCCUAGUGUAGAGGUGAAAUUCGUAGAUAUUGGGAGGAACACCAGUGGCGAAGGCGGCUCACUGGUCCGAUACUGACGCUGAGGUGCGAAAGCGUGGGGAGCAAACAGGAUUAGAAACCCGAGUAGUCC
rnacentral:rRNA from 1 species